GGCUCUGUGGCGCAAUGGAUAGCGCAUUGGACUUCUAGACCAAUAGGGGUAUUCAAAGGUUGUGGGUUCGAGUCCCACCAGAGUCG
rnacentral:tRNA from 1 species